GUCAUAUUUCCUGUGAGUUCAUCAUCUGCUGGCAUAUAACACUUGUGAAUUUCAUUCAAUUCAUUUAAAAUGAUUUCUAACAUGCAGCCAGAAAGUUAAGGGCGUCAAGGAAUGCAAAACGAUCCGCAGCCAUCCAAGAUUUCUCAGGAGACAGAUUCAGAAUCACAACGAAGGGAGGUUUUCCUUAAGGAGCGGUGUCUUAGAAAAAUUACCUCUGAUGAACCAGGACGUGUCCUAAGACGCUCGGAUCCUCUGCGUUCUGAUAUCAGUAGACUCCGAUGACCUUCUGAAGGUUGUUUUUGGUUUUUUUUUUCUUCUCCCUUCUAUUUUUCUUAUGAAUAGGUCAGACACAGGCCAGGAUCUAUGGCUCCCCUUCAGAACACACGUUUUCUUCCUGUUUAUUCCAUCGCUGUGUGAUUACAAAGAAGUCAGCUAGGGGAAAGUGUUGGGGGCAGAUGGUGACUCUUCACCCAGAAUUUGAACAAAGCCUGUCAGGGGCCGAUCACACCCAGGUAGUGAAUUUUAAAAGAGGAAAAAGCCAACAGCUAGCAAAUCGAAACAAGGUGAGAAGGGGCCUCAUCUCCUUUUCAAUAAUCCUUCAAUUGUCCCAGAGAAUUGAAGUUCUACAAAAAAAUAUUUUCUUUAUGCUGUCUCUGUCUAUUUGAGGGGACUCUUUUUUUUUUUUGGGUUCUUUUUUUCGGAGCUGGGGACCGAACCCAGGGCCUUGCGCUUCCUAGGUAAGCGCUCUACCACUGAGCUAAAUCCCCAGCCCCUCGAGGGGACUCUUAUAGAAGGCAGGUAGCCUUAAAAUCUUUCCUUUUGGAGCUAUUUUAUGGGUGUGGGUGUCUUCACCUUCAUGUAUGUCUGCGGCCUUUGUGCAUGCCCGGUGCUUACAAUAGGCAGAAGAGCGUGUUGGGUGUCCUGGAACUGGAGUCGUCAAUGGUUGUGAGUCAGACGCAAGGUGGGUGCUGGGGACACAACUCCAGCUACUGGAAGAAUGGCAAGUUCUCAGUGAGAAGCAUUGAGCCAUUUCUCUAGCUUCUGGAAAUCAGGGACCAUAAGGGGUGCUAUGGUUUGAAUGUGACAAGUCCCCCACUGGCUUAUGGCUUGAUAGCUGUGUCUCCAGAUAAAGGUGUUGCUCUGGAAGGGCAUGGAACCUUUACGUGCCAGACCCAGCUGGGGAAAAUGGGUCACUUGGGGCAUUACUUUGUUACAGCUGCUCCCACCUGCAUGUGGUCUGGUGAGGGUGGAUGGCACUUUCAAACCAUUCCACCCUAAGCUGUUUCUUGCUGAGCUCUUGUUCACAGAGAGGAGGAAGGAGAAAAAAAAAAACAACCAAAAACAAACCAAAAUUCCAAAAGACCAAAAGCAAAAACAAAAAAACCCCCAAACCAACCAACCAACCAACCAAUCAACAAACAAAAAGCAUAACAAAAGCCAACAGCACCAACAAAGAAACCAACCAACACCCAAGGUGAUAGGUAGACUUGAUUCACAUUUCCCGUGAGUCCAUCAUUUGGUGGCUUAAAGCCCGUGUCCAUUGUGCGCAAACCCUUUAGAUUAGUUACUGGACUUUAGGUAAACCAGAAGACAGAGUUAAAGACCUACAGCUCCAGAAGCAGCACACCGUAGUGAAGACACACUCCCCCAUCAAGACCAUGAACAUUCUCCAAGCGAUGGGCGCGCAGACGCUUUGACGUUAGGCACGCAAAUCCCCAUUUCCCACAUGCUGCUUUCUGCUGCUUCUUUGGAGAGAUGAGAAAGCUCGAAGCCCGUGUUCCCUUGAUUCCCUUGCAGCCUGAGUUCAGGGUUGGAAUCAAGUCCUCUUUAUCGUCCACUCUUAGGGGACAUUUAGAUGCGUGUGUGUGUGUGUGUGUGUGUGUGUGUGUGUGUGUGUGCGCGCGCGCGUGCCAGAGAUGCUUCUUUGUGACUGAUGGAUGGUGACCUGGUGCUUGUGAGGUGACACUGUGUUCCAGAGUCUUGUCGAAUCUCAUGGCAAGGAGCAGUGUUGGCAGCAGCAGAAGCUGUCGAUGAAAUGGCAGAGGUACGGUUGUCAAACUCACAGUCCCUCUUUAUCUUCCCAACAUCGUGAUAGGCAGAUCCUCAGCCCUUUGGAUGAGGCUUCUGAUUCCCGACCGUUCUUUCAUUCAUACCCUAUCACCUACGUUUCUGGGGUCAGCAGAAUGGCCAACUUUCAACUCUUCUCAGUAUUUCUCCAUUAGUUGGGAACGUCUUGUUUCCAGGGAAACACUUGAGGACUUAAAAGUCAAGGACGAUGGCUCUCCGGAAGAGCCAGCCAUCGGAGAUGAGGAAUUCUACCUAUUCCAAAUCUUGCCUGUGGAUCCAGCAUGCGCCCUUCCUCCCCCAGCAGGAAAACACACGUUACUGAAGGGAAGAAAAUCACUGCUCUAGAGCCACAAGGCAAAGCCAUGUGCUAACUGGCUGGAGAGAUCCACCGGCAGCUCCCAGAAUGCUUGGAUUCUCCCCAGCUGGAUCCCUUGAGGAGUUUGCUACCUUUUAACCCAACGCCACUGGAUCUGGCCCUGUCUUUCGAUUUACUCGUUUCUCCUAUGGCAAGAUAUUAAGCAACAAUCUCAGAUAAAGACCCACUCGUUUGAACAAAGGGAAAGUGCCUCACUUAGACCCAUUGUAACCAAUUCCCAUUAUAACCAAUUCUCUCUGAACAUGUGGACCCAACAAACGGGAGAUCGCUGCAUAGCUCGAACAAUGAAGUUGUUAGUUAACGGAAUUAACAGUGUGUUGUCUCACUGCGAUGACAGCGGUAAAACAGGAGACGUGCAGCCGAUACAGUCACAACUGAAUCGUAAUGGAUGAGAUAUUUACAGCAAAGCUGUUCAAACAUUGAAUAAAAUAUGGGAAGUGCUAAAGCAGAUGUGUUUUUAUUCUUCUGAGCUGAAGCUUGUAAGGUAGAAAAGAGAGUUUGAGUAAUAAUCGCAGGUUCUGAUUCACACGCAUUAAUAAAUAUUCAUACGGCAGCAGUCGCUGAAACUUUCCAAACGCAGAAAUAAAGUGAGAAAGCCUGUGUUUGCCUCACACGGGGCUAAGUUUAGCUUCCCAGGCAGACGUGUCAAUAUCUCCAUUAGGGCCUCACGAAAGCUGCAUUUGACUUCCUACCGCCUUCUGGGUCUUGCUGGUGGAUCUGUCCUGUUUCCUUUUCCUUUCUCUCCUUUCCCAUCUUCCUUUUGUUCCUCUAGAGUCUCAGUACUUUUCCCGAUUCCAGUCACCAGGAAGUAGAAAGAGAUGAUGACCUGGUCUUACAGAGGGGAGCUGUAACUUGGGGGGGGGGGGGUAGAGAUGGGAGGGAAUGUGUGUUCUCUUGAGUUAGGUAAAGGAGCUCGACCUCUCAGUAGGAAGCACAAUCUCUGUGCACCUGAGCAGUGGGAUGCCUGAUUUCUGCAGAGGCACGCAAAAAAUUCAUGUGCUCUGGGCUCUUUGUUUUUUUAAUGAGCAGGGUAUCUCUCUCUCUCUCUCUCUCUCUCUCUCUCUCUCUCUCUCUCUCUCUCUCUCUCUCUCUCUCACUGCAUAAGGGAAGGCUUUCCUUUGCCCUGAUCUGGAAUAAUUUGGAGAAGUUUAAUCUGGGAUAUGUGACUCUGCGUCCAGCUUGUAUUUCUCUGCCUUUCGGGAAACAGGGGAAGCUUUGUGUAAAACUGGCUUGAAUCUGAAGAGAGGGAGGGAGGAAUAAAGGAAGGGAGAUAAGUGCGUGUUGCAGGGGCUUGAAUUCCUCUGGCGAGGGGGGCACAGCCAUCCCGGCAUGGACUCGUGUUUGGGUGUGGAGAGCCUUUGAUGGAUGACCAUGCUUGCUGCAUCCUGUAGCAUAACAGAGCGCUGUGGGGUUGCUAUGACGCCCUUUGUUCCUUUCUCUGCUUUUAUUGGCGUGUGUAUGUACCUUGGCUUGUAUGUGGAACCACGGGGCUUUGUGUCGUGUUUUCAUUUUCUCUUCUGCUUUAUUAAUGCCCGCAUCCUUUUGUCUCCUCCACAACCCCGCACCUCGUCCCCGCGCUCGCGUCAGGCCUUUCAUUUGGAUCCUAUUCUUUGCGUUCCCUCCGUUGGUUCCAAAUGAAGCCUCACUGCUUCCUCCCGUCCCCACCUCUGGCUUUGACCUCAUUAUCUUUUCCUUUCAGUGAAUUCCAUCCCCCACAGACUUAACAGUAAGUGUUUCCUUUCCUUGUGCUGCUGUGUCUUCUCUGAAAAUAUGAAUAUGAUGUUUUGGCACUUAUCUGGGACUUAAGAGUUUUAGCAUUCGGGAUAUCAAGCACAGUAGCUUCUGAUGGGCAGGCCUGGGGACCAAUCAGAGAGGGGCAGCCCAAAACCAGGGGCUCCAUGGGAGCGUCUAAUGACCUGAGGCCUCUUGGCCAAAUGGCAGCAAAUCCUAGGAGAUCUUGUCCUGGGGUAAGCAGGGUUCCCUGCGGGGGGCAAAUGCCCAAACAACCUGUACUGGGAUUGGGCGCCCAGACACAGUAGCGGCAGAUCAAAAAGAGUUAUAACGAAGGUGUAUUUAAAGUGUUUAAAUGUAUGCUGUUCAUGACUGUAAUAAACCCAGUACUCUUGAGGCUGAGGCAGGAGGGUAGCCUGGGCUACAUAGUGAAUCCCAGAGUGAGAGCAUGACUCAAAAAAAUCCCAAAUCAAACCAACCAAAGGGAGGAAAAACCUGUUCACACUGAAACGAACGCUUCUUGCACAAAUCCAAAGGAAACACACACAUUUAUCAACCGUAUUUUAUUUAUAUUCACAACUGAUAGUUAAUCUUGGGAAACAGGAUGUGGAGAAAACUCAGAUCCCAGAGAGCACACGGCGUGUGGAAGCUGGCUGCGCUGGCUUUGCUGGCAAGAGCCCAAGGAGUUGUUUGGUUGGUUCACAGACUGGAUGAAGCUUUCAUUGCUCUUUGAACAACUAACAAGAUUUUGUUUUUCUUAAAGGAAGGUGAGGGUAAUACUAUGAGUUUUAGAAGGCACACCACACACAUACACACACACACACACGUGUACACACACACAUACAUGUACAUACCUGCGUGUGCAUACACAUACACAUGCACGCACACACACAUACACACACAUACACAUAUACAUACACAUACAUAAAUACACACAUAUAUAUACACACAUACAUACAUAUACACACAUGUACACAGAAACGCAUACACAUACAUACCUGCGUGUGCAUACACAUACACAUGCACGCACACACACAUACACAUAUACAUACACAUACAUACAUAUAUACACACAUAUAUACACACACAUACAUACAUAUACACACAUGUGCACACAAACGGAUACACAUACAUACCUGCGUGUGCAUACACAUACACAUGCACACACACAUAUACAUAUAUACAUACACAUACAUACAUACACACAGACAUACAUACACACAUACACACAUACACACACAUACAUAUAUACAUGCACACAUAUGUACAUACACAUAUACAUACACACAUACAUACACAUACAUACACACAUACAUACAUACACACAUACAUACAUACACACAUACAUACAUACACACAUACAUACAUACACAUACAUACAUACACACAUACAUACACAUACAUACACACAUACAUACAUACACACAUACAUACACACAUACAUACACACAUACAUACACACAUACAUAUAUACAUACACACAUACAUACAUACAUACGUACAUACACACACACAAAUGGGAACACAUACACACUCACAAACUCUGCAGAGGAGUUAUUACUAUGAAAUCAGUCUAUUGGACAGAAUAUCUGGAGAAUCUGUCUCUCCUCUCCCCCUCUGAUUUCUCCCCCGUUCUUUGGACGGCCAAAAUGCUAGCUUGACAGCGCCGAGCAACACAGCUCAGGUGAGAACGAGUACUUGCCAACGGCUGUGUUUCUGCCUCUGUGAAGACUAGGCUGGCUCCAGACAUGCUCUAGUGCGGGAUGAAGCAGCCCCACGUGCCAGCGACAAACUUCCUCCGAAAAUACAAGAUCUGCAAAACUCGAGCCAGGUAGGGCGACUUGCAGAUGAGUGAAAAUAAAAAAAAAAAAAAAUUACAGCAUGGCUUUCCUAGCGCUCGCACUUAACUGCUUGUUGACUUUUUCUUUCUUUUUAUUCAUGGGACAACAGAGAUUUGUGCAGAGGGGUGACCGGUACCCAAGGCAAUUAGCACUUAAAUAGAGGCCAUUCAUAUAAUUAAAGCAUUUGUGAGAAACGUUGAAUACAUAAAUGACUCUCCCUUUAGGGCAGACUGGGUUGUAGUUUUAUUCCAGCUUAAGUCUUCCUUGUGUCGUACUCCGGCGACCCCGGCGACCCCAGCGACCCCAUGCGAGGAGGACCUUUCCUUGUGAAGGAGAAUUAGUUUGGGAAUAUGAAGCAUCUGUCCGAGUGGAUGACUUAGGAUGGCAUAGGAGGUCCAAAUUCCGUCUGUGUAGCAGCUUCUAAUCCUCCGUCCCGAAACUGGUCCAUUUCCCCUCAACUACUUUGAAAACUAAUCUCUCUAAUCUCUCUCUCUCUCUCUCUCUCUCUCUCUCUCCCUCUCUCUCUCUUCUCUCUCUCUCUCUCUCUCUCUCUCUCUCUCUCUCUCUCUCUCACACACACACACACACACACACACAUGGGCAUAGGCCACAGGACAGCUUCAGGAAUGUCUGCUUUGGAGACAAGGCCUCUUGCUGGCCUGGAGCUCAGUGGGUAGGCUGGGCCAGUGACCUCCAGGGAUCUGUCUGUCUCUGCCUCCCCAGUGCUGGGAUCGAAAGCACGCAGCACCGCACUCAGCAUCUCUUUUUAAUCGAGAACGUUGGGGGUUUUAUUCAGGUUAUUAUGCUUGUGAGUCAAACAUUUUUUUUCCCCUCUGAGAUAUCUCCCUGACCCCGAGAAUUCAUUUCUUAUCACCGAUGAACAGAUUCUGAGCUCUGGGACAAACCCAUCACUAAACACAUUUCCUAACAGCUAGAUCAAAGACUAAACCGAGCCCCUGAGUCAUCUCCAAAGCAACAUGGGGACAUUUUCAGGGCAGGUGCGGCAGGGGGUGUGUGGGGUGUGUGCUCCCGGGCAGGCCGAGGUCGUGCAGAUGUUCUCACUCAAUUGGAUUUUCCUCACCACGCUUGCCUGUGCAGCUUUGGUAUGCGAAUGUUCACCACUGAAAACUGGGCCCGUGGCUCUCACAACGAACCCAGCAACCUGACCAAUCAGCUCCGAGUCUGCAUGUUGCCAGGGAAACCAAACCAUAGUCACAAAAGCAGAAUGAUCACAGUGGGGAAAAUAUAAAAUGUGGCCUUUUCAUAGUCAGAGGGAGAAAGGGAUAGCACAGGCUGACCGGACGUAGCAGAGAAUGACACUGGAUUCAGGGCAGCAUGUGACAUGGGUACACAUCUGUGGUGAUGGACGAGAAAACGAAUGGGCAUGUGUGUGUGUGUGUGAGAAAAGAACUAACAUUCAUUAUGUAACCAUAAAAUGGUCAAACAAUAAGAGAAAGAUAAUUAAAAAAAUGUGUACCUCAGCCGGGAGUGAACUCAGGAUUGCAGGGAGAUGGCAGAUGAUUGUGGUAGAAAGAUGGGCAUCCUCAGGAAUAUGUUUUUCCAGAAGCCCUGGCUCUGUAGAAUGCCACCGUGCCCUCUUAGCCGGUCAAUGUCCCCACCUUUCCAAGCAUGUUGAUGCAACUGCUCCCAGAUAUCAAACCAUCCCUUGCUCUUGGACAGUACUCACCAUCUGUGGGCUCGCAGGCCCUCCCACUUCGUUCUGGGCCUCAUAUCAGAAGCGGGAGCCACAACAGACUGCUCCCCUGCUGAGAGUUCCCAUCCGGACUUCCCAUUGCAGGGGCCUUUGGAUUAGGGAGCACCGCAAAGGAGUGGAACUUCUCCUUAGAGCGAGGGACAGAGCUCCGUUUCCAAAUACCGCACUUGUGUUCACAGUCGAGUUCGCCGACCCUCGUAGGCAGGACCCCCACUGACCUUUGUGGGAGUCGAAAUUCAACCAUCCUUUCCCACAAGAGCUGCUGUAGAUGUGGUUCCUGGGUCUUGAUCUCUGGGCAUGGCACACGUUGGGAGCGGGAGAUGGCUCCGUAGGUAAAGUGCCGGGUGCUCAAUGGUAAGGACCGAAGUUUGAUUCCUCGAACCAACAUAAAAAUCCAGACUCGGUUACGUAAGCGGUUCCUGUGGAGAGAUAGAAGGUGGGGAGAAUACUUGGACGCUCGUGUCCCACAGCCUCCCUACCUCGUGCAAACAAGAUACAAAGGUGAAGACUGCCGUCGACUCCUGAUCUUCCCUGAGCACUGCACACACACCAGGGCACAGAGACGGCUGCAUUCACACGUGUGUCUACACACACAAGCAAAUGAUGGAAAUUUAACACGGUUGAAUUUCUGAUAUUUAGUAUAGGAGUCACUUUAGGGUUUGCUGGUUAACAGUGCUGGCUUCCCUUGCGGGGGAUCCAGGUUUCGUUUUUGGCACCCACAUAGCUGCUCAUAACCCCCUGGAACUCCCAUUCCAGGGUACCACGUGCCCUCUUCUGGCCUCCACCGGCACCUGGACACUUGCUACAUAGACAGACAAGCAACCAUACACACACCGACACAUAAAUAAAAACAAAAGUCAAAGAAACAAAGAAUUUGUUUAAAUAGAUUUCAUUUCUUUUUCUGCUCAUUUUCCACUUUGGGAGGCACGGCUGUAGAAAAAGACCAGAGAACAUGCCCUUGUCCCCGACCAGGUAAGGAUGACAGUGCUUCUGGAUAGAAUGGUUCCCCCCACAACCCUGCCCCCAGGUCUGCAGCUCAGCUGUGUUCUUCGGGAAGGAGCCCAGCACACAAGGCUGACUAGAAGAGAACAUCAGUGCUCACAGAUCUGAGAGGACGGGCGCUGCUCUUUCCAACCAUUUGUGUGCUUGGCGUGGAGCCUCCGUUCUUCAGACAACCUUACCCAUCUCCCCCUCUCUGCUAGAAUGGCUUUGGUCUCUUCUCUCACAGCCUCUGGGCUCUGAGGAAUCUAUAACACGUGACAAGCCAUCUUGUCAAUGCAGCUGGCUCUGGAGAUGAUCUUGUUGCCUGAAGCCACUGGCAUUUGUUCUUGAGCAGAUGCACCGGGCCCUGGUGUCAUUGCUCCCCGAAUCCAUGGUAAACUGUGCAAGCCACAGGGAGUCUCUCAACUGUGCUGUGAGCCCAUCCUAGACUUACCGCAAUGCUGGAUAAAUAAGACACAGAUGGACAGCCGUCGGAUAUGUGUGGUAAGGCUGAUGGUCAUUCUAAGAGCACCAAGUGCUUAGGAACUCGGGGCUUGUUCCUUCCCAGGUACUGUACUUGGUAGUCAUGUGAAUUUCAUGGUCACUCGUUCUCACAACCUGUGAUCAGCACUGUGUGUCUGAGGUUAGAGCACGAAAGAGCUCCUCGGUGCAGAGAAAUCAAACAAAUUGAAUAACAGGUGUCACUGUCAGGGAAAAUGCCCCCCUCCCCCCAGACUAACUCUGGUUAAUCAGUGAUGUCUAUGGAUUUUGUGAUCUAUCGGAUGGUCACGUGGGCCAGUUUUAUUGGCUUGUGACCAUCCUACCCCAGUGCUUCAUAUGAAGCAGGAUUUUAUAAAGUGACCUUGGUGACCCUCGACAUCAUUUAAUCCCUCCCACUUGGUUGUGGUAGGAACAUCCUACCAUCAUGAGUUACGAGUGAAGGGCCUUGCCAUUGUGAAUAUGACAAUUUAUUAGUUGACCAAUAGCUGGAAGGACUACUAGAAGUGGUUGAGCCACACCUGAUCAGGUGGCCUCUUAAGAGAAACAGGGCCAUUACUGAAGAAAGUCCCAAAGAAUGCAAGGGACAAUCUCCUGUGGCUCUAGAGCUGACAGGGCCACAUGGCAAGGGAUGUGGGCAGUGACAUGAGCUGUGAGAGGCUACAGACAGACAGAGACCAGAAAGAAAAAGGGGCCUCAGUCCUUCAACCCCAGGGGGUAACUUCCUUCAACAGUCUGAAGGAGCUUGGGGACAUAUCUAUCCUUGGAUGUAAACCCUGUCCAUGUAAACCUUGUUUUCAUCUCCAUAAGAUCCCAAGGAAAGGACCUCCGGGAAAGAGGUCCUGCCUGGACCCAUGACCUGUGAGCUCACAGUCAGUGAAUGGGCACUGUACCAGGAAGCUGAACCAUGGCCAUGUGAAAAGCAAAAGCUAGAAAACUGACAUAUUCUCAGAUGUGCCCACACAAUCCUAUCGACUCACGAUGAAAAGGCUUCUAUAUUUUAAAAACAUUAUCUCCUGGGUCUGGAAGAUGGAUCAGUCAGUAAACUCUGCCUUAUAAACAUGGGGAACCGAGUUCAAGUCCCUGAACCAAACCACGUAAAAAGGCAAAAGAUAGUGGCGUGUGUUUAUCAUCCCCGCGAGGGGGGAGGAGGCAGGAGGAUCUCUGGGAUCUAACAGUCACCUGGUCUAGCUGUUUGGUGAGUAUAGCGCCAGCGAGUCGGUCUGAAGAAGAAUGCGGUGGGAACCUGAAAAAUAACAGCAACCCCUGUCGUCUCGGAGGAAGUUCUCCACUGGGUGAGUCCUUGACGCUGGGCCUCCUCCCCACCACUCUGGCUUUACCACGUUCCCAGACUUAUGCGAUUCUUUUUUCCCUCACAAGGUCGCCGUAGGCAAUGGAGCCAAGUGACCGUAGAUGGAGCUCUCUGAAACCGUAAGCCAAAAUAAGUCUUCCCUCCUUGAAGUACAGUUUGUCUCAGACUGAAAAUUCUAAUCAGCACAGUGGCCUUUUGCACACAGCUCUUCUCACUUCUGAUGCUCAUUACCGCUCCCUACCCGCUCCGCUCCCUUCUGGCCAGAGGAUGUUAACAGCCCCUUUGAAUAAUAUAGUGCUUUUGUCAAACCUCCCCAGGGUGAUGCUGGCUAUACUGUGCUUCUCUGUGGUCUUUUGUGGGAUCCCCUGAGAAUUAUGAACGGGGGGGUGGGGGGAGCUAGCUUCUGGCUGCAGCGGGCUCUUCUUCGGCAAAGCGCUCGCAUUUGGUCCUCUCUCUAAGCUUCCCAGAGUCGCUUUUGUUUGGUUACUGGGUCUAGUGAAACAGUUCUCAACUUGAUUGGUCGCGACCCCUUUGGGAUUGAAAGACCUCAUCCCAGGGGUGGUCCAACACCAUUGAAAACACAGAUGUUUACAUUGUACUUCAUAACAGCGGCAAAAUUGCAGUUAUGAAGAGCCAACGGAAAUAAUAGUUGAGGGAUAAAUGUAUUGAAGGGUCGCAACGUUAGGAAGGCUGAGAACCACUGGUCUAGCAGACGGAAGUGAUGGGGAAGGGGCUCUUUAUCAGGAGAGGCGUGCUAGCAGGGUUUUCCAUCAGGGUAUCCCGCUCAGAAGCGUUUUCUUUUGAAGCAAGCGCAGGUCCAAAUUCCUGAAACAGGCUCAGACGUGACGACAGAGCAUAUUUUAAAGAUUUGUUCAUGUUUCUUGUGCAACUAAAUUUCCCCCUGAAUUCCAUUUUCCUGUAGAUUAUUCUUUUUUUGAGACCUUCUGGAAAGGGAAGGCACGCUCUGUUCUGAUAGGGAGUGAUUCUAUUUUGCAUACUGACAUGCAUUUUAACAAGGAAAAGGUCAUGGACUGGGAUGGUUCGGCUUGUUGGCGUGACAGCCGACAUUUACCUGAGCCUUCUCAAUACACUGCGGUUUAAAAUAAUUUAGUGAAAUAAUUGUCAUGAUUGAUUUUAUAUUUCCUUUUUGGACCCAGAGUUCACCUUUGUUCCUCUCGGGGUGGGUAACUUCCCGGAGCAGAAAUUUUCCUUUGAUGGGAAUCCACUUCUGAAGUUCUGGAUGGAUGGCAAACUUUGAUUAAAAUCACGAACUCUUUUAUGAUCUCUUAGCAAAAGCUGGUGAACUCAAUUGCUGCUGACAUAUUCCUUGACCAACAUCUGUUCUUCGGGUGACACUAGUACGGGAGAAAAUAAGCAGCUGAGAUGGUUUCAGCAUAAUAUUCUUCCUUGUAAAUUCCACAUCUUGGGGCUUUCGGAAGGACCCAGAGACGAUGGCAGACAUGUAAACACAUUGCCAUCACAAUAGUGCCCGUGUGGUUUGGCUGGCCAGACUUUUGACAAAGGAGAGGAAAAAAACAAAACAAAACAGUGGUUAGUUUUAAUCAUUGACUUGACACAACCUAGAAUCAUCUGGGAAGAGAGUGUCAAUGAGGGAUUGUCUGCCCUAGAUUGGCCUGUGGGCUUGUCUGUAGGACAUUGUCUUCAUUAAGUGAUGUAGGAAGACCCAGCCCACUGUGGGCAGCACCAUUCCCUAGGCAAAGCAUCCUGAACUGUGUAAGUGUAGAGACAUUGAGCACAAACAUCAGCAUCCAUGUUAAUUUCUCUCAGCUCUUGACUGUGGAUGUGAUGAACUGUUUGAAGCUCCUUCCUUCAUUCCCUGAAAUGAUAUAAGACUAUAACUUGGAGUUGUAAGCCUUAAUAAAACCCUCCCUUCCCUAAAGUUGUUUCUGUGGUGGUGGUGGUGGUGGUGGUGGUAGUUUGUUUGUUUUCUGUUUUUGUCAGUGAAUUUUUAUCAUAGAAACAUAAAUGAAACUAGAAUAACCCAGGUGUGUUUCGAAGAGUUGGUAUAAUGAAAGAAAGGAAUGGAUUUGAUGACACCUUGAGUUCCUGAUUCCACCUGAGAGAACACAUUACAAUGAAUACAGCAAUGGUCACUUAAGGAUAGACCUGGCCAAAUUCUAACUCUGGUAUGCUCCUUAACAUGCAAAGCAAUACUGUAAGUACGAAGAACUUGAGGGGAAGAGAUUAUCUGGGUGGGCCAAUGCAAUCAGAAGGAGGGGGGAGGGGGAGAGGUGGGUCAAGGACACAAGGAAGCAUGGAAUGAAAGGAGAGGCGAUGUGGCUUGAGAGUUGGGUGACAGGCUAGGAGUCCAGGAAUACAUUCACCUCUGCAGAAACUAAUGAACAAAUGAAUGAAUGAAUGAAUGAAUGAUGAAUGGAUGAAUAGAAAAGACACUAAUAUUUUCUAGAGCUUCCAAGAGAAACACAAUCUUUACAGAUUUAUUAACUUUUUUUUUUUUUUUUGGUUCUUUUUUUCAGAGCUGGGGACCGAACCCAGGGCCUUGCGCUUCCUAGGCAAGCGCUCUACCACUGAGCUAAAUCCCCAACCCCGAUUUAUUCACUUUUAUUUGUAUGUGUAUGUUUAUGUGCACGUGGGUGGGGUGCCUACAGAAGCCAGAAAGGGUCAUCAGUUUCCCUGGAGCUAGAAUCCCAGGAGGUUACAACCCUUGCUACCUGGGUGCUGGGAACUGAAUUCAGGUCCUCUGAAAAGAGAGGUAAAUGCUCUGAGCAACUGAGCUGUGGCUCCAGCCCCGAGAAAGGUGUUAUUGACAGCUUUGUGUGUGCUUGAGGUCUGUCAGUGUGCAUGUGAGUGCACAUUUGCCUGGGAGCAGGUGAGCAUGCAGGUGUAUGGAGAAUCCAAAGCACAAACACAGGUGUCUUCACUCUCUCUCUCCAUCUUGUUUUCCGAGAUGGGGGUCUCUUGUUGACCAGGAGCUUGCCCAGUAGGCUAGGCUGACUGGUAAGAUGGCUCCAGGGGCCCUCCUGUCUCUGCGUUUGCAGGCAUAGGCCACCGUGUGUGGCUUUCUUCGUGUAGCGUCUGGGGCUCGAACUCUGGUCCUUACUCUUGCAUGACAACCUCUACAGAUGAACUGCUUAUCCACCACUGGCUAACAACUUUCCCUGGGCACUGUAAGACUUAAUCUGGAUCAUGACCUCUGGGACAGUGGAGUGACUGAGCUGUGUUGCUUUAAAUCACCAAGAACGUGGUCAUCGCUUACAGCAGUGAGAAGCAGCUAAUGACAAACUGAUCCAAAGGAGGUGGUACCAAGCUGGAUAGUGGAGCAGAAAGACGGCAGCAUGCCUCCCCGCUCCUAGUCUGGCCUCUGUCAUCUUGUCAUCGAGUUUGUCACUUCUUAGCUUAGCCCGCACUGGAGAGAAAUAAAUUUAAUUUUUAUAUAAA